rnacentral:rRNA from 1 species
UACGUAGGGUGCAAGCGUUAAUCGGAAUUACUGGGCGUAAAGCGCGCGUAGGCGGCUUUGCAAGUCGGGUGUGAAAUCCCCAGGCUCAACCUGGGAACUGCAUUCGAGACUGCAUUGCUAGAAUCUUGGAGAGGCGAGUGGAAUUCCGAGUGUAGAGGUGAAAUUCGUAGAUAUUCGGAAGAACACCAGUGGCGAAGGCGACUCGCUGGACAAGUAUUGACGCUGAGGUGCGAAAGCGUGGGGAGCAAACAGG